rnacentral:rRNA from 1 species
AUGCAAUCUAGAGAUUAGACGUUCCCUUCGGGGACAUGGAUACAGGUGGUGCAUGGUUGUCGUCAGCUCGUGUCGUGAGAUGUUGGGUUAAGUCCCGCAACGAGCGCAACCCUUAUUAUCAGUUGCCAGCAUUAAGUUGGGCACUCUGGUGAGACUGCCGGUGACAAACCGGAGGAAGGUGGGGAUGACGUCAAAUCAUCAUGCCCCUUAUGACCUGGGCUACACACGUGCUACAAUGGAUGGUACAACGAGUUGCGAACUCGCGAGAGUAAGCUAAUCUCUUAAAGCCAUUCUCAGUUCGGAUUGUAGGCUGCAACUCGCCUACAUGAAGUCGGAAUCGCUAGUAAUCGCGGAUCAGCAUGCCGCGGUGAAUACGUUCCCGGGCCUUUACACACCG